UGUUAGCAAUAAUAAAAAAUCCUGAUUUAGAUAAAAUGGAUUCAAAUACAGUUUUUGAAACAAAACGAAUGUGAUUUGAAGAUCCCUAGGAAGAUCAAAGUCCUAGCUUACAUUUGCAUGGUGAGUUCAACAAGUAUUUGUUAUUAGAGAACAAGUAACACAGUUAGUGGUGUAGGGAAGCAAACGAAUGUAACACCAAUUGAAAGUCCUUCAACAAGUAGAGAUGCACACAUGUUUCAAUCAUUUGAGAUACCCUUUUGUAGAAGUAUUUGGAAGAUAACUAUUAAUAAUUUCAUUUGUAAAGAUACGAUUUGUAAAAAAGUAUAUACAAAGUGGUUUUGCUGGUAUUAAAUAAAUAAAUAAAAAUAC
rnacentral:lncRNA from 1 species